rnacentral:lncRNA from 1 species
GCAAAGCUACUAUUUACUGAGCAUUUCCCAUAAGGUCAAAAGAACCACUUGGAACACUCAUUCAGCAUACAGAUUCUGAGCCCCUCCCUGAAGAUCUGAUUCACUAGGCUUGGUGUAAAGUCCUGGAACCCAUAGAUUUAACAGGAGCCCUCCACUGGCAUAUAUUAUGGGAAAUAGUUUGGGAAGUAGUGCUUUACAUGAUUUAUGUCAAGUAAUUAUUACAAUUGCUCUCUGAAGCCGCUACCAUGAUUAUCUCAAUUUUACAGAUGAAGAAACCAGCUCAGAGUAUAAGAUAUGGUAUACCUAAGUCAAAUAGUUAAUAAACAGGAGCGCUGCUGACUCUGGCACCCAGGACUGCUUGUCUUCAAAGCCAGGACUCCGACUACUGAAGGCCCAAGACUCUUGGCGGUCUGAAUCUGGGGUCCCAGCUGCCUUGCCAGGAUGGCAGAUAUCUCUCCACUAAUGCAGGUGUCUUAGAAGGAACUGACACCAGAGGCUGCACAUGCAGGAAAGAUGGGCUGAGAUGGGCCUGAAGCUCAGGCGGGGAGCUGCACCCGAAAGAGGACUGAGACCAGAGGAGGUAGCCCUGAGCCCAUGACUGGAGAGAAACAACAGAAUGGCAACUCCCAGCUGGCAGAGAAGGCCACCCUAUCUGCAGGAGCCCAGCAACAGGGGGUCUUGGACUCAGCCAACAGCCACCUCCUUCCUCCUCUUGCCCUUC